rnacentral:rRNA from 1 species
GAUGAACGCUGGCGGCAUGCCUAAUACAUGCAAGUCGAACGAGAACGGAUUAUAGCUUGCUAUAAUUGUCAGCUAAGUGGCGCACGGGUGAGUAAUGUAUAGGUAAUAUGCCUCUUACUAAGGGAUAACAAUUGGAAACGAUUGCUAAUACCUUAUAUUCCUUUUUAUCAAAAGAUAAAAAGGGAAAGAUUUAUUGGUAAGAGAUUAGCCUGUAUUGUAUCAGUUAGUUGGUGGGGUAAUGGCCUACCAAGACGAUGACGCAUAACUGGUUUGAGAGGAUGAUCAGUCACACUGGAACUGAGACACGGUCCAGACUCCUACGGGAGGCAGCAGUGGGGAAUAUUGCACAAUGGACGAAAGUCUGAUGCAGCAACGCCGCGUGGAGGAUGACACAUUUCGGGCGUAAACUCCUUUUAUAUAAGAAGAUAAUGACGGUAUUAUAUGAAUAAGCACCGGCUAACUCCGUGCCAGCCGCCGCCGUAA